rnacentral:rRNA from 1 species
GACUCAACACGGGGAAACUCACCASGUCCAGACACGAUGAGGAUUGACAGAUUGAGAGCUCUUUCUUGAUUUCGUGGGUGGUGGUGCAUGGCCGUUCUUAGUUGGUGGAGUGAUUUGUCUGCUUAAUUGCGAUAACGAACGAGACCUUAACCUGCUAAAUAGCCCGUAUUGCUUUGGCAGUACGCUGGCUUCUUAGAGGGACUAUCGGCUCAAGCCGAUGGAAGUUUGAGGCAAUAACCGGUCUGUGAUGCCCUUAGAUGUUCUGGGCCGCACGCGCGCUACACUGACAGAGCCAGCGAGUACUCCCUUGGCCGGAAGGCCCGGGUAAUCUUGUUAAACUCUGUCGUGCUGGGGAUAGAGCAUUGCCAUUAUUGCUCUUCAACGAGGAAUCCCUA